rnacentral:rRNA from 1 species
UACCAGCACCCCGAGUGGUCGGGACGUUUAUUGGGCCUAAAGCAUCCGUAGCCGGUUCUACAAGUCUUCCGUUAAAUCCAGCUGCUUAACAGAUGGGCUGCGGAAGAUACUAUGGAGCUAGGAGGCGGGAGAGGCAAGCGGUACUCGAUGGGUAGGGGUAAAAUCCGUUGAUCCAUAGAAGACCACCAGUGGCGAAGGCGGCUUGCCAGAACGCGCUCGACGGUGAGGGAUGAAAGCUGGGGGAGCAAACCGG